rnacentral:rRNA from 1 species
UACGUAGGGCGCAAGCGUUGUCCGGAAUUAUUGGGCGUAAAGAGCUCGUAGGCGGCUUGUCACGUCGGGUGUGAAAGCCCGGGGCUUAACCCCGGGUCUGCAUUCGAUACGGGCUAGCUAGAGUGUGGUAGGGGAGAUCGGAAUUCCUGGUGUAGCGGUGAAAUGCGCAGAUAUCAGGAGGAACACCGGUGGCGAAGGCGGCAUCCUGGACCGGCAUUGACGCUGAUGAGCGAAAGCUAGGGGAGCAAACGGG